rnacentral:rRNA from 2 species
AGAGUUUGAUCCUGGCUCAGGACGAACGCUGGCGGCGUGCUUAACACAUGCAAGUCGAACGAAGAACUAGAGAUGAAUUCUUCGGAAGGAAUUUUUAGUUACUUAGUGGCGGACGGGUGAGUAACGCGUGAGCAACCUGCCCAUAAGAGGGGGAUAACAGCUGGAAACGGCUGCUAAUACCGCAUAAGACCACAUUGCCACAUGGCAGAGGGGUCAAAGAUUUAUCGCUUAUGGAUGGGCUCGCGUCUGAUUAGCUAGUUGGUAGGGUAACGGCCUACCAAGGCGACGAUCAGUAGCCGACCUGAGAGGGUGAUCGGCCACACUGGAACUGAGACACGGUCCAGACUCCUACGGGAGGCAGCAGUGGGGAAUAUUGGGCAAUGGGGGAAACCCUGACCCAGCAACGCCGCGUGAGGGAAGAAGGCUUUCGAGUUGUAAACCUCUGUCCUAUGGGAAGAAGAAAGUGACUGUACCAUAGGAGGAAGCUCCGGCUAACUACGUGCCAGCAGCCGCGGUAAUACGUAGGGAGCAAGCGUUGUCCGGAAUUACUGGGCGUAAAGGGUGCGUAGGCGGCGCAGUUAGUCAGAAGUGAAAUAUCGGGGCUUAACCCCGGGGCUGCUUCUGAUACUGCUGUGCUCGAGUGCAGGAGAGGUAAGUGGAAUUCCUAGUGUAGCGGUGAAAUGCGUAGAUAUUAGGAGGAACACCAGUGGCGAAGGCGACUUACUGGACUGUAACUGACGCUGAGGCACGAAAGCGUGGGUAGCAAACAGGAUUAGAUACCCUGGUAGUCCACGCUGUAAACGAUGAAUACUAGGUGUAGGGGUCAUAAGACUUCUGUGCCGGAGCAAACGCAAUAAGUAUUCCGCCUGGGGAGUACGGCCGCAAGGCUGAAACUCAAAGGAAUUGACGGGGGCCCGCACAAGCAGCGGAGCAUGUGGUUUAAUUCGAAGCAACGCGAAGAACCUUACCAAGGCUUGACAUCCCGAUGACCGGCGUAGAGAUACGCCUUCUCUUCGGAGCAUCGGUGACAGGUGGUGCAUGGUUGUCGUCAGCUCGUGUCGUGAGAUGUUGGGUUAAGUCCCGCAACGAGCGCAACCCCUAUUGUUAGUUGCCAGCAUUUCGGAUGGGAACUCUAAUGAGACUGCCGGGGAUAACUCGGAGGAAGGUGGGGACGACGUCAAAUCAUCAUGCCCUUUAUGUCUUGGGCUACACACGUGCUACAAUGGUCGGUACAAAGAGCUGCGAACUCGUAAGAGUAAGCGAAUCUCAAAAAGCCGGUCUCAGUUCGGAUUGUGGGCUGCAACCCGCCCACAUGAAGUCGGAGUUGCUAGUAAUCGCGGAUCAGCAUGCCGCGGUGAAUGCGUUCCCGGGCCUUGUACACACCGCCCGUCACACCAUGGAAGUUGGGGGCGCCCGAAGCCAGUGGCCUAACCGCAAGGAGGGAGCUGUCUAAGGUGAAACCAAUGACUGGGGUGAAGUCGUAACAAGGUAACCAA